AUUGCACUCACCCAGCUGCCAGCCAGUUGGGGUAAAAUACUCUGCCCCCAGUCUCCCUUGGCUGGCUCGCUGUCUGGAUUUGCUUGCCCUUUGUUGCUCUCCGACUCCCACGCUCUCCGCCCGGCACAAACUUCUACUCCUCCUACUCCUCCGUCUCCGUCCCCCUUCUUCUUCCCCCUUUUGCCGCUUUUGGGGACCUCGACCCCUCUCAAAUCCAGAGGAAGGCCGGGGGAAAGCAAGCACAAGCACAGCUCCCCCUCCGGCUCCAGCCACCCCAACAAAAGGUUCCCUCUCCCCCUUCCCUUCCCCCUCAAUCUCGCCACUCCCGUCCUCCGCCGCCGGUUCUUGGAUCCUGGAUUUGGCGGCCGGUGGAGCCGAAAGAUUCCAUAUUUGUUUAUUCCGCAAGGUGGAGGGAGGGUGUGGCGAUGGGGGCGUCGCCUGAUCUGCCGGCGUCCGCCUGGUGGAGCGCCUCCUGGACGAGGCCUGAUCCGUAUUGGUCCCAGUGAUCUGGCCGCGCCGGCGGCUCGGGUCCGUGGUGCCAGGGUUUGUCUGCUGCCCGGCGGCUGCUUGGAGAUCUUUCUUGCGCUGUUGCCUGUUGGGGGGUGAGUUCAGGAGCUGUGAGGAUUUGCCUAGAUCCCUCUCUGUUCCUGCUGCUGAUUUGCUGUGCUGGGAUACUGCUAGGGUUUUGUCGUGCUCAUAGGUUGUCUGUGGUAGGAGAAGAUGAUUAAACAGAUCCUUGGCAGGCUGCCCAAGAAGACAGGGAAGGCCGGCGAUGGCCGGGAUGCUGCCACGGCCAACGGCAACGAGCCGUCCAACUCUUACAGCGUUGCAAGGAGUGUGGAGCCUGGUGGGAAUAAGAGAGCAGGAAAUGGGGAGCACCUGCCACCAGCUGGCUCCGCUUCUACUCCGGCGAUGAAUGGGGCUGUGGUGUAUCACUCCAACGAGCCGCUGCCGGCGUUCAAGGACGUGCCGGUCUCGGAGAAGCAGAAUCUGUUUGUCAGAAAGGCCACCCUGUGCUGUGCUGUGUACGACUUCGCCGAUCCGACCAAGAACCUGAAGGAGAAGGAGAUGAAGCGGCAGACGCUUAUGGAGCUUGUUGAUUAUGUCACUUCUGCAAAUGGCAAGUUCUCGGAGGUCAUCAUGUUGGAGAUCAGCAAGAUGGUUGCAAUUAACUUGUUCCGGAGCUCGAAUCCCACUCCUCGUGAGAACAAGGCCAUCGAAGGAGUUGAUAUGGAGGAAGAAGAGCCUCUCAUGGAUCCAGCAUGGUCACACCUGCAGAUCGUUUAUGAGGUUUUCUUGAGAUUUGUAGCGUCGCAAGAGACAGACGCAAAGCUGGCCAAGAGAUACAUAGACCAUUCCUUCAUUCUCAAGCUACUAGAUCUUUUUGACUCUGAAGACCCCAGGGAAAGGGACUAUCUCAAGACAAUACUCCAUCGAAUAUAUGGUAAAUUCAUGGUGCAUCGCCCAUUCAUCAGGAAAGCAAUUAACAACAUCUUCUACAGAUUUAUAUUUGAAACGGAAAAGCAUAACGGUAUUGCAGAGCUGCUGGAGAUCUUGGGCAGUAUAAUUAAUGGUUUUGCCCUGCCACUUAAAGAGGAGCACAAAUUGUUCCUUCUCCGUGCACUGAUCCCACUUCAUAAGCCAAAGUGUGUGGCAAUGUACCAUCAGCAGCUAUCGUAUUGCAUCACACAGUUUGUUGAGAAGGAUUGCAAACUUGCUGACACUGUUAUUAGGGGCUUGCUGAAGUAUUGGCCUAUAACCAACAGCUCAAAGGAGGUGAUGUUCUUGGGUGAGCUAGAAGAGGUUUUAGAGGCAACACAGCUUGCAGAGUUCCAAAGAUGCAUGGUUCCGCUCUUCCGUCAGAUUGCCAGUAGCAUGAACAGCUCACACUUCCAGGUGGCAGAGCGAGCACUGUUUCUAUGGAACAACGACCACAUUGAGAACUUAAUCAAGCAGAAUUACAAGGUGAUACUACCCAUCAUCUUUCCCGCGCUCGAGAGAAACGCCCGGGGUCACUGGAACCAAGCUGUCCGGAGCCUGACGCUGAAUGUGCGCAAGAUCUUCACCGAUCAUGAUUCCGCGUUUUUCGGAGAGUGCAUGCAGAAGUUCGACGACGACGAGCUCAAGCAGGAGGAGUCCAGUUCGAAGCGGGAAGUGCUGUGGAAGCGCCUGGAGGAAAUGGGCGGCGAGAGCAGCCCCUCGGGUAUACCCAACGGCAAAUCCAGUCAAUAGAAUAUACCCAUAGCGACCGCGAUCGCGCGAUCCUUUGAACGAUGCGCGACUGAUUCUCUGGAACUUGGGCUGUGGUUGUAGUGUUGGAUUUUUCUUUUUUCUUCUUGGUUGGUGAGUUGACUUCCCCUGGGUAGGGUGUAUUUGGUUUCGUGAGGACUGCAUGAUCAAAAGGUAUGCAUACAUGAGAGUUUCUGUGAUAUUUGGCAUGUGUCGUGGCAUGGGUCAGGAUUAUCGUAUAGACCAAUAAACAGCGUCAGGUUUUGUUGAGGAUAUGCUCUUGGGUGGUUUACUUAAAUGACAAUGAUCAUUUUGUUAUUGCCCUUGUAUGAGCUAGCAUUGUGUUUUGUUUGGCUUACAACCAAAUAGAUUGUUGG
rnacentral:rRNA from 1 species